GAAAGAAGCACUGAGCAUGCUCCGUGCAUGCGCAUGCCAACCCAGCCAUCCCCUGGGGGGACCGAGAUCAUUCUCCAGUGUGGUUACCUCUGUGGAAGGGCUUGGCGUUACAUCAGCCUUGUGGUGCCAUUAACCCGUUUCUAUCAUGGUCUAAAUGUGUUGCAGUGGAUAUGCAACAGGUGGUGUAGUGGUUAAAGCACCGCCUUACAGCCCAAGGACCCUCGUUUGAAUCCCACCUCCUGGUGUACUGUCCUUGAUCCAGGUAAUUACCCUGAACUGAUGCAGUGAAAUUACCCUGCUAUAUACUGUAAAAGGGUGGAUCAGUGUAAGCUGCUUUGGUGAAAAGUGUCAGUGUAAUAAAUAAAUGUGAGUGUGUGUCAGGAAGUGUGUGUGACGCGAGAUCAGUGCAACGUGAGGCAACCGCAAGCUGAGCGCAUUCCUGAACGGCCUGCGCUUUACAGUCCCGUGCGCCUGUCCUGUUGUCUUGGACCUCAUGUGGCCCGCUUGGUUGACGGAGCCCUGAGGGACUGGACUCCCUCGCAGUGACCCAGUGCAGACGAGCGAUUUGACGUCCGAAACCUCGCUGGCGACGAGCCGUUGCGCAGGCGCACGUGGGCGUUAGCGGAGCCGCUCUGGUGGUCUCGUGCGCUGGUCUGCGAGCACAGAAAAGCUCGGCAAAGAUUGCAGAUUCCUGUAUUCUUCUUCCAGGGAUUACCACAAUGCCCUCUCCCCGUACCCUCUGGGGAAGGCGAAUGAAGCCAGAAACGUCGAGGUGGAACAUCCAAGUUUUCCCUGUCUGCAAGAUCAAUUAACCUGCACUUCCCAGCAGCGCAGGACAGGACAGUGGAGAACCUUCACCUUAGAAGGAGCUCUGAGGUCUCUGAGUCACCUCAAAGGAAAUAAGCAUCUGAAGUUCGAAAAAAAUGAAUAAUAACCUUGAAACAAAAGAAAUGCUUCCUCUUGGAGCUCUUCCCGACAUCUGGACUUCCCUCAGAUUAAACGUCCAUGAAAAGACGAAAACCGGAAACCGUUCGUCAGGCAACGGCGUGACCUCCCUCUGCCAAAACCAACAAGGCCGUGAGCGCGGAGCUCGUUCGGCAAAGGCCGACUGCAAUGUGCUACGAUAUUUAGCGACGCUUGAAGAUCGGAUCUCCUGUCUCGAUUUAAAUGCCAAGGUAAAAUGGGAUACCCUGUACCUCAUGCUGCUCCAUCCCUCGUGGUCCCCAGUCUUGUUCUCCAUGGUUCUGCCAAAGGUAAACGUUUUUUAGUCAGAGAAUCCUGAGAGCCUUCGUCUGCAAAGGUGAACAUUAGCACAGUAUUUCUCCAAAUUCUUGUCUACUUGCAUCUUUAAACACGAACAUGCCUUAGUUGUGGGGUUCUGUUGCUCAUAGACAAUGACCUUACAUUUAUUUAUUUAUCAGACGCUUUUCCCCAAAGAGACUUCCAAUGAACUCUAUGUAGUGUCAUCAGCCCACACACCUUAUUCACCGCAGUGAUUUACACUGCUAGAUACACUACUUUACACUGGGUCACUCCAUACAUCAGUGGAACACACACACUCUCUCUCUCUCUCUCUGUCACUCACUUACACACUAUGGGUGAACCUGAACAGCAUGUCUUUGGAGUGUGGGAGGAAACCAGAGCGCCCCACAAGGAGAACAUGCAAACUCCACACAGACCGAGCGGGGAUCGAGCCCACGUCCUCUCGCACCACCCACACGCUGUGAGACAGCGGCGCUACUCGCUGUGCCGACGUGCCGCCGAACCUUCGGGCAACGAUAUGCCAUUCCUGGGACACUUGCUUCGGUUUUGGUUCAAGUAUCGUAGCAGAUCCUAAGAACAGUGAGGAGUUUUUAUCUAAUCCAAGUUAAGCCCUACCAGUAGAAAAGAGGGCAAACUGAGCCUUUAAAUGAAAUAAAAACGUUGCCUUUUAAUGGAUUAGUAGGACU
ensembl:lncRNA